UACUAUCGAUAGUAGCUUGGUGCUAUCGAGUUUUCCACCGUUAGAUUUAACUCUUUGAUUAUUUUUAACCGUUAAAUUAUACAAUCAACCAACCACCCACUCAACUCUAGAGGGUCCACAUUAUUCUAACCACACAUUUCUUAAUUCAAGGGCUAAAAAACUAAUAGCACCAAUAGCUUGGUGCUAUUGAUAGCAUUCCAACCUAGUUCUAUAUAUAUAUAUAUAUAUAUGUGUGUGUGUGUGUGUGUGUGUAGAGUCCUGUUGGGAUACUAUCGAUAGCACGAAGCAUUUGGUUUUUCUGCCGUUAGAUUUACCUCUUUUAUCAUUUUCAUCCGUUCAAUUAUACUAUUCAACC
rnacentral:lncRNA from 1 species